rnacentral:rRNA from 1 species
GCGUUGUUCGGAAUUACUGGGCGUAAAGGGCGCGUAGGCGGCCUUCUAAGUCGGACGUGAAAUCCCACGGCUUAACCGUGGAACUGCUUGGUAUACUGGUUGUCUUGGGCCAUCUAGGGGCUACUGGAACAAACGGUGGAGCGGUGAAAUGCGUAGAUAUCGUUUGGAACGCCAAUGGUGAAAACAAGUAGCUGGGGAUGUGCCGACGCUGAGACACGAAAGCCAGGGGAGCGAACGGG